rnacentral:rRNA from 1 species
GACAGAGGGGGCAAGCGUUGUCCGGAGUUACUGGGCGUAAAGGGCGCGGAGGCGGUCUGCGGCGUCGGAGCUGAAAGCGCCCCGCUUAACGGGGCGAGGCGUGCCGAUACGCGCAGACUUGAGGCGAGCAGAGGGUGGUGGAAUUCCGGGUGGAGCGGUGAAAUGCGUAGAGAUCCGGAGGAACGCCAGUGGGGAAGCCGGCCACCUGGGCUCGUCCUGACGCUGCGGCGCGGCAGCGUGGGGAGCAAACCGG